GACGGAGGAUGCAAGUGUUAUCCGGAAUCACUGGGCGUAAAGCGUCUGUAGGUGGUUUAAUAAGUCAACUGUUAAAUCUUGAGGCUCAACCUCAAAAUCGCAGUCGAAACUAUUAGGCUAGAGUAUAGUAGGGGUAAAGGGAAUUUCCAGUGGAGCGGUGAAAUGCGUAGAGAUUGGAAAGAACACCGAUGGCGAAGGCAGCCCCCUGGGAUAACACUGACGCUCAUGCACGAAAGCGUGGGGAGCAAACAGG
rnacentral:rRNA from 1 species